rnacentral:lncRNA from 1 species
CCAAUUUUUUUCUACAAACAUGUAUAUAAAGCAGGAAUAAUGGAAUAAUUACGUUCUAUAUCAUAUGUGAUAUGUCGAUACAAAACAAUGUAUAAUCCUAAUUCUAAAAAAAAAAAAGUUAUCCAACCUGUUCACUUUCAAUUUUUUGAAUAUUUUAGUGUCUAUACUUAUAUUGCUUUUUGUACAACUGUCUACUUAUAUUGCUAUACAGUACAAUAAAACAUCACUUCUAAAGAUAUUUUCAUUGGGUAAAUUUACGUCAAAAUAUGACUCUCUUUUUUUUUUGUCAACAUCAAAAUAUGACUUCUAUUUUGGAAGAAACUGAUACGGGAUAUUAAAUCAGUUGUGUUCUUCGUUGUCGGUUUUUAUUUUAUUUUUAUUUUUGUCCUCAUAUAUUACCAAAAGAAUCCCGUUCGUCAUCGGUGUUUUAAUAUAUCAGUUAUUGCAGUCAUUAAUAUCCAUGUGGUUUAUUUUAUAAUCCCAAGUCCUGCAUCCCAAUUAAAAUAUCGGGAGCUUUGAACCGACAUGAAACUAAUUAGGUUUCACGUGUGGGACGACAGUUAAUAUGUGAGCAACGAUGUGACUUGAAAUUGUUGCGAAUAGUCAAUUAAAAACUCCACUCACUGGUAAUCAAAGUCAAAUUACUCCAA